rnacentral:rRNA from 1 species
GACGUAGGGCGCGAGCGUUGUCCGGAAUUAUUGGGCGUAAAGAGCUCGUAGGCGGCUUGUUGCGUCGACUGUGAAAACCUGCGGCUCAACCGUGUGGUCUGCAGUCGAUACGGGCAGGCUGGAGUUCGGUAGGGGAGACUGGAAUUCCUGGUGUAGCGUGAAAUGCGCAGAUAUCAGGAGGAACACCGGUGGCGAAGGCAGCUCGCUGGGACGGUACUGACGCUGAGGUGCGAAAGCGUGGGGAGCGAACAGG